rnacentral:tRNA from 1 species
GUGAGUAUAGCUCAGUGGUAGAGCAUGUGUUUAGCAUGCAUGAGGUCCUGGGUUCAAUUCCCAGUGCCUCCA